ensembl:snRNA
UUGUUCUAUGAAUGCAGAGAAGGUUAGCACUCCCCUUGACAAGGAUGGAAGAGGAUUCGGCCUGCAACACACAUAUGGUUAAGGCAUUGCCACCUACUUCAUGGCAUCUAACCGCUGUUUUGG